rfam:Stegodyphus mimosarum contig91899, whole genome shotgun sequence.
GCCUUCGUGGUGUUUUGGUCAGCACGCUCGACUCGUAUUCGAGAGGUCCGUGGUUCGAGUCCUGGCGAGGGCA